rnacentral:rRNA from 1 species
AGCGAACGCUGGCGGCAUGCCUAACACAUGCAAGUCGCACGGGGGGGCUUCGGCCUCCCAGUGGCGGACGGGUGAGGAACGCGUAGGGACCUGUCGAGGGGUGGGGGAUAACCGCGGGAAACUGCGGCUAAUACCGCAUGACGCCGCGGCGUGACAGCCGGGGCCAAAGGCGAAAGCCGCCCGCCGAGGGGCCUGCGUCCGAUUAGCUGGUUGGCGGGGUAGCGGCCCACCAAGGCGUCGAUCGGUAGCUGGUCUGAGAGGGUGAUCAGCCACACCGGGACUGAGACACGGCCCGGACUCCUACGGGAGGCAGCAGUGGGGAAUAUUGGACAAUGGGCGCAAGCCUGAUCCAGCAAUGCCGCGUGGGUGAAGAAGGUCUUCGGAUUGUAAAGCCCAUUCGGCGGGGACGAUGGUGACGGUACCCGCAGAAGAAGCCCCGGCUAACUUCGUG